AGAGAGUUAGUUUAAUUAGAACCCCUGAUUUCGGCUCAGGAGGACUUGGUUUAAUUCCAAAACUCUUAA
rnacentral:tRNA from 1 species